GCAACGGAUAUCUCGGCUCACGCAUCGAUGAAGAACGUAGCAAAAUGCGAUACUUGGUGUGAAUUGCAGAAUCCCGUGAACCAUCGAGUUUUUGAACGCAAGUUGCGCCCGAAGCCAUUCGGCCGAGGGCACGCCUGCCUGGGCGUCACGCAUCGCGUUGCU
rnacentral:rRNA from 1 species